AUGUAUAUCAAUAUUAUGGGUAAUGAUAUGAUUUGUGCGAGUCAUGCUAAUGAAGGUUGUUAUUGGUCAAUAUUAAUGCACCAUCAGGUAUGAACUUCUGAAGAAUUUGAUUGUUUCUUUCUUUAAAAAUUGGAACCAAUGAUAAUUUUUGAUAUUUAUUGUGUCAAGUGACUCAAAUAGGAUUACAUAAAUGACAUCGAGGUAAAAAAUGAACAGGUACAAAUAUAUAAUUUAUUAAAUUGUUAAAAAACUAUCUUUAUAAAUAUUGAUAUAACCUCUUUAUAUAUACUCCUCAUUUUCAGUUUGCUAAUUUGUUAGUAUUUCUUGAUGAACUCAAUUGUUGUUGGACAAAAAGUUAUCGUUCAAGAAGAAUUCAGAAUCAUAUCACAUACGCAUUCUUUUCCAAUAUCUUUUGCAAAUAGAAUGGGAAGGCUGGAAUAAUAGCUUAUGGAAAUGAGCUCAGUAAGUUAGUGAUACACCUGGGGAAAAGCAUGGGAUGAACCAGGCCAUUCUAAUGGUGGAGAUAUACUUCAUUUAAGCAUGGAUGUUUUAAAGGAGAAUGUAAUCGGUAUUGAUGGUCUGGACUUGAUCCUUAAGACCGAACAAAUCUCCUUGAAGUUCUGCAAGUAAUCAUGAAUUCGGAAACGCCAUGACUGUUGAUGAUUCAGGACAACUCCUGUUAGGUCCGAUCCAUAUUCAUUCGGAUCCGUGUCCAACUGAAAUUAAAUAGGUAUUUUGUAGAGAAUUAAUAGUAUUGCAAUUUUUAUUACUUAUUGCUAUAUUGAAGUAAAUGCCCUAAGUAAUUCAAUUUCUGUUUUUUUUCU
rnacentral:lncRNA from 1 species